GACGAACGCUUGCGGCGUGCUUAACACAUGCAAGUCGAACGGAAAGGCCCUGCUUUUGUGGGGUGCUCGAGUGGCGAACGGGUGAGUAACACGUGAGUAACCUGCCCUUGACUUUGGGAUAACUUCAGGAAACUGGGGCUAAUACCGGAUAGGAGCUCCUGCUGCAUGGUGGGGGUUGGAAAGUUUCGGCGGUUGGGGAUGGACUCGCGGCUUAUCAGCUUGUUGGUGGGGUAGUGGCUUACCAAGGCUUUGACGGGUAGCCGGCCUGAGAGGGUGACCGGCCACAUUGGGACUGAGAUACGGCCCAGACUCCUAUGGGAGGCAGCAGUGGGGAAUAUUGCACAAUGGGCGGAAGCCUGAUGCAGCAACGCCGCGUGCGGGAUGACGGCCUUCGGGUUGUAAACCGCUUUCGCCUGUGACGAAGCGUGAGUGACGGUAAUGGGUAAAGAAGCACCGGCUAACUACGUGCCAGCAGCCGCGGUGAUACGUAGGGUGCGAGCGUUGUCCGGAUUUAUUGGGCGUAAAGGGCUCGUAGGUGGUUGAUCGCGUCGGAAGUGUAAUCUUGGGGCUUAACCCUGAGCGUGCUUUCGAUACGGGCUGACUUGAGGAAGGUAGGGGAGAAUGGAAUUCCUGGUGGAGCGGUGGAAUGCGCAGAUAUCAGGAGGAACACCAGUGGCGAAGGCGGUUCUCUGGGCCUUUCCUGACGCUGAGGAGCGAAAGCGUGGGGAGCGAACAGGCUUAGAUACCCUGGUAGUCCACGCUGUAAACGGUGGGUACUAGGUGUGGGGUCCAUUCCACGGGUUCCGUGCCGUAGCUAACGCUUUAAGUACCCCGCCUGGGGAGUACGGCCGCAAGGCUAAAACCCAAAGGAAUUGACGGGGCCCCGCACAAGCGGCGGAGCAUGCGGAUUAAUUCGAUGCAACGCGUAGAACCUUACCUGGGUUUGACAUGGAUCGGGAGUGCUCAGAGAUGGGUGUGCCUCUUUUGGGGUCGGUUCACAGGUGGUGCAUGCCUGUCGUCAGCUCGUGUCGUGAGAUGUUGGGUUAAGUCCCGCAACGAGCGCAACCCUUGUUCACUGUUGCCAGCACGUUAUGGUGGGGACUCAGUGGAGACCGCCGGGGUCAACUCGGAGGAAGGUGGGGAUGACGUCAAGUCCUCAUGCCCCUUAUGUCCAGGGCUUCACGCAUGCUACAAUGGCUGGUACAGAGAGUGGCGAGCCUGUGAGGGUGAGCGAAUCUCGGAAAGCCGGUCUCAGUUCGGAUUGGGGUCUGCAACUCGACCUCAUGAAGUCGGAGUCGCUAGUAAUCGCAAAUCAGCAACGCUGCGGUGAAUACGUUCCCGGGGC
rnacentral:rRNA from 1 species